AUUUGGUGUACAGAGAAAUGGAAGAUCUGCUCAGGUUGAUAAGAAUCACGGAAUCACAGAAACACCAAGAUGGAAAGCUAUUUUCAGAAGUGCUCAACAUUGGCUUACAUUCUGUGGAAGUCAGCAGUAGAACUCCUACUGACUUUUACUUGGGAGUGGAACUAUGUCAACACUGAAUGGUUUUGAAAAGCACAGCGUGUCAUUUUGACUAAUGCUGCCCAGAUUCUGAAGAAUGAGGCUGCUGUUCCAUGACAAUUGAAGCCUACGUAGAUUGGGAUGACUGCAAAACCAAAUCUUAUCUCUGAAAAAGAUAUAUAUUUCCACCAAAUCAGCUUCUGAGAGGACUCAUUAUGUAAGUACUGGUGCUGGAGUAUGACAGAAGAUGGAAAAGCCUGGG